rnacentral:lncRNA from 1 species
GUCCCACUCUGAUUGGUUGGCUGGCGCGCGAAUCCUUUUUUUUUUAAUUUUUGUUUAUUAUUUUAUUGUUUCAGUGCGUUUGGAUAAAACCACUGAGUUUGUGUCUCAGUGGGAGAGGGGGGUUGAUCCCCCCAUGACCCCAAGGUCAGGGGUUCAACCCCCAGCAUGUGCAUUCUGGUUUAUUUUUGUUUAUUUCACUUUUCAUUUUAUUU